rfam:Acidovorax sp. 12322-1 scaffold6, whole genome shotgun sequence.
UUGGAUUCCGUGGGAGAGCGAGGCAGCCUUAUCCGGCCCGCCUCCGCCGAAGGCGCAAACUCCCAUAAUCGCUCAGGCACAAGUACCACGGAACACAU